UUGCAUUAAACAAGAGAAUAUAAGAAAUGAAAAUCAUACACAUCUUCGACACACCACAAAGCACAAAAAUAACAUGAGUAUAUACUGUGUUUCAUAGUCUGCUAAACAUUAAGGUAGAAUACACUGUAUCUGUCUGUCUUCAGAAUAUAAAUACAAAUAGGCACACUCAGCAAAAGGGUGCACCAAAUGCCAACCCCACAGCUUCACCAACAUGAAAAGCUUGCUCGAACAGGGAAUCACAAGCUCACCUCUAUGGCAACUUAUUCGCAAACUAAAACGAUGGUGCCAAAUAAGCAGGUAAAGAUCGGGACACCCUCGCGUUUCUCCUGCAUGCAAAUGAUGGAAAAGAUAAGAUCACCGGAAUGGAUAUUGAACUCAAAAGAUGCCUGCUUAUCUGAUGCAUAUUAGAAUAACUGGUGUUUCAAGACAACAUCCCACUUGGUUCCCUUCUAUUGGAUCCAAGAGUGAUAACGAAGUGCACAGUUUCAUGUAACUAGUAAGAAGGAGCGACUAGCUUCAGCAGAGUAUAAUAUUAAUGACCGGCCCAUAUGUAUAAACCAAAUGCUUCAGAUAGAAACAAGAGUCUGAGAUUCGAUAUGAUGCAGUGUGGUGUAGCACUCACUAGUCAAUGGCACUUCAAGUGCCAUCUUGUUAGCAUAAUGAAAGGGCGAUGGGGUAUUUACAAUUUUCAACUUUGUUCUUGUUCCUCGUCCUCUCUUUUUGGUUUCUUUCUCCUUACCGAGUCUUGCCUGCCGCUGCCUCUGAGCGUACCACGCGCAUGCCAUUUCUUCUCGACAACCCAAGUCACCAGCUGCUCCUAAGCAUACAAAAGUAGAAUAGCACUCUGCGGCAUUG
rnacentral:lncRNA from 1 species